CACAGAACUCUUCACCAUGACAUUUUCACAGCACACGCUAUUUAAAGAUUUACAUCAUUUCAUCACUCCAGGCACAAGCACAGAUGCCAAGGAGAAUUUACACUCUUCGAAGCUGGCAAUGAGAAAAGAGGGAAGACCCCAGACGCCGAAGGUACUGAAGUUAUCUAAACUGAACACCCCUGGGUAACAGUACCAAUCUCAAGAAGUAGAGCGUUACCGUACAGCCAAGCUCUC